rnacentral:rRNA from 1 species
UAUAUUGGACAAUGGGGGCAACUCUGAUCCAGCCAUGCCGCGUGUGUGAAGAAGGUCCUCGGAUUGUAACGCACUUUAAGUUGGGAGGAAGGGCUUGAGGGUAAUACCCUGAAGUUGUGACGUUACUACCAGAAUAACAAGCGGCUAACACUGCGCCCAGAACCGCGGUAAUAUAGAGGGUGCAAGCGUUAAGCGGAAUUACUGGGCGUAAAGGGCGAGUGGGUGGUUCAGUAAGGUGGGUGUGAAAUCCCCGGGCUUAACCUGGGAACUGCUUUCAUAACUGCUGAGCUAGAGUACGGUAGAGGGUAGUGGAAUUUCCUGUGUAGCGGUGAAAUGCGUAGAUAUAGGAAGGAACACCAGUGGCGAAGGCGACUACCUGGACUGAUACUGACACUGGGGUGCGAAAGCGUGGGGAGCAAACA